rnacentral:rRNA from 1 species
UACGUAGGCAGCGAGCGUUGUUCGGAGUUACUGGGCGUAAAGCGUGCGUAGGCGGUGGUCCAAGUCUGGUGUGAAAUCUCCCGGCUUAACUGGGAGGGUGCGCCGGAAACUGGGCCGCUGGAGUACGGGAGAGGCAAGCGGAAUUCCAGGUGUAGCGGUGAAAUGCGUAGAUAUCAGGAGGAACACCGGUGGUGUAGACGGCUUCCUGGACCGUAACUGACGCUGAGACACGAAAGCGUGGGUAGCAAACAGG